CUACGGGCUGCUGCAGUGAGGAAUAUUGCACAAUGGGGGGAACCCUGAUGCAGCAACGCCGCGUGGAGGAUGACGCAUUUCGGUGUGUAAACCCCUUUUAUAUGUCAAGAAAAUGACGGUAGCAUAUGAAUAAGCACCGGCUAACUCCGUGCCAGCAGCCGCGGUAAUACGGAGGGUGCAAGCGUUACUCGGAAUCACUGAGCGUAAAGGACGCGUAGGCGGGUUGGAAAGUCAGGUGUGAAAUCCUACAGCUUAACUGUAGAACUGCACUUGAAACUUCUAAUCUAGAGUAUGGGAGGGGGAGAUGGAAUUAGUGGUGUAGGGGUAAAAUCCGUAGAUAUCACUAGGAAUACCUAAAGCGAAGGCGACCUCCUGGAACAUUACUGACGCUAAGGCGUGAAAGCGUGGGGAGCAAACAGGAUUAGAUACCCUAGUAGUC
rnacentral:rRNA from 1 species